rnacentral:rRNA from 1 species
AUACGGAGGAUCCGAGCGUUAUCCGGAUUUAUUGGGUUUAAAGGGUGCGCAGGCGGCCAUUUAAGUCAGCGGUUAAAUCGUGGGGCUCAACCCCAUUCUGCCGUUGAUCCUGGGUGGCUUGAUUGCGGUCGAGGUUGGCGGAAUUCGUUGUGUAGCGGUGAAAUGCUUAGAUAUCCCGCAGAACCCCGAUUGCGAAGGCAGCCUUCCAAGCCAUGACUGACGCUGAUGCACGAAAGCGUGGGGAUCAAACAGGAUUAGAUACCCUGGUAGUCCACGCAGUAAACGAUGAUCACUAGCUGUUUGCGAUACAUUGUAAGCGGCACAGCGAAAGCGUUAAGUGAUCCACCUGGGGAGUACGCCGGCAACGGUGAAACUCAAAUGAAUUGACGGGG